AUCUUGAAUAACCUUAUUAGGCCUAUAAAUUUUUGAAAUUGUAGUCCACUUGAACUUCAAUAAUCUCUAAUCCAACAAUUUGAUUAAGCUAAAAUUUACAAUAUACAUUUAGCAAAACUAUACACACAAUCCUAUAAAAUUUUACUCACAAAAUUAUUCAAAGUAUAAAUCCUAUUUGAUUUUAUAAAAUUCAAAGUCAUUCAAAACAACCAUGUUUUUAUAAAGCUCUUAUAAAGUCAUUGUAUAUUCAAAUUAUUUGAAACCAAUGCUUUAAAAAAUCUUAUAAAGUCUUCUGCUAAAUUCCAUUUUUUGAUUUUCCAAAGAAUCCUAGAAUCACCAUAGGUACAAAGUUUUGUACCUCAAGCUCUAAUUUCAAUCCAAGUUAACAACUGAACUUCUUUGGAUAUCAAUUUUUAGUAAUUUGGAAUAAAUUUUACUUUAUCCUCUUUUUAAUUCUCUUCUAAAUAUGUUU
rnacentral:lncRNA from 1 species